rnacentral:rRNA from 1 species
AUUGAACGCUGGCGGCAGGCCUAACACAUGCAAGUCGAGCGAGCGGCGGACGGGUGAGUAAUGUCUGGGAAACUGCCUGAUGGAGGGGGAUAACUACUGGAAACGGUAGCUAAUACCGCAUACCAUCAGAUGUGCCCAGAUGGGAUUAGCUAGUGGGUGGGGUAAUGGCUCACCAAGGCGACGAUCCCUAGCUGGUCUGAGAGGAUGACCAGCCACACUGGAACUGAGACACGGCCCAGACUCCUACGGGAGGCAGCAGUGGGGAAUAUUGCACAAUGGGCGCAAGCCUGAUGCAGCCAUGCCGCGUGAAUGAAGAAGGCCUUCGGGUUGUAAAGCACUUUCGGCGGGGAGGCGUUACCCGCAGAAGAAGCACCGGCUAACUCCGUGCCAGCAGCCGCGGUAAUUC